AGAUGUGUCCGAUGUGAAUGUAAUAAUCAUGCAGACAGCUGUGACCCAAACACGGGCAAGUGUCUCUGCCAGGAUAACACCGUCGGCGAUGAUUGCUCAAGUUGCAAAAAAGGUUACUAUGGAAACCCAACCGCGGGAAAUAAGGACGACUGCAAGCCAUGUCCGUGUGUAUUUGGAACACAGUGCAUUCUGAUUGGUUCAAAAGUCAAGUGUACGGAUUGCCCCGAGGGACAUCAAGGU
rnacentral:lncRNA from 1 species